GUCCCGUUCGUCUAGAGGCCUAGGACAUCGCCCUCUCACGGCGACAACACGGGUUCGAAUCCCGUACGGGACG
rnacentral:tRNA from 3 species